rnacentral:rRNA from 1 species
AUUCGAUUAUCGUAUUACCGCGGCUGCUGGCACGUAGUUAGCCGUGACUUUCURGKUGAUUACCGUCAAAUAAAGGCCAGUUACUACCUCUAUCCUUCUUCACCAACAACAGAGCUUUACGGUCCGAAAACCUUCUUCACUCACGCGGCGUUGCUCCAUCAGACUUGCGUCCAUUGUGGAAGAUUCCCUACUGCUGCCUCCCGUAGGAGUUUGGGCCGUGUCUCAGUCCCAAUGUGGCCGAUCAGUCUCUCAACUCGGCUAUGCAUCAUCGCCUUGGUAAGCCUUUACCUUACCAACUAGCUAAUGCACCGCGGGGCCAUCCCAUAGCGACAGCUUACGCCGCCUUUUAAAAGCUGAUCAUGCGAUCUGCUUUCUUAUCCGGUAUUAGCAUCUGUUUCCAAUCACUAGUGAAUUCGCGGCCGCCUGCAGGUCGACCAUAUGGGAGAGCUCCCAACGCGU